rnacentral:rRNA from 1 species
CAGUCGCCACGGGAAUACAGAGGAUGCAAGCGUUAUCCGGAAUAAUUGGGCGUAAAGCGUCUGUAGGUGGUUUACCAAGUCUGUUGUUAAAAAUCAGGGCUCAACCCUGAUCCGGCAACAGAAACUAGUAGACUUGAGUACGGUAGGGGCAGAGGGAAUUCUCGGUGUAGUGGUGAAAUACGUAGAUAUCGAGAAGAACACCAAUAGCGAAAGCACUCUGCUGGGCCGAAACUGACAUUGAGAGACGAAAGCUAGGGGAGCAAAAGGGAUUAGAUACCCCCGUAGUCCCUGUCUCUUAUAC